rnacentral:lncRNA from 1 species
AAUUUGAGGAAACUAGCAAAUCUCGAAUUGAGUAUGAUGAACACAGAAAAAGGAAACUAUUGAUUGAGUGAGUAGUCUUGUUCAUGUCAGAGAAAUUUUUUUUUUUUUUUUAAAAACUUUGACUUUGAGCUCAAUGGGUCAAUCAAACCAAUUACAUUUCAAAUUGUGCAUUAACGUCACAAUCGUUCAAGAUUUUUUUAUCUCUUGGCAAUGAGAGAGUCAACAAUCUAAAUGUACAAAGAAACCUUUGAAUGCAUAUUAAUUUGCAAGGUCAUUGUAGAAAGUGUCUGAAAACACAAAGAAAAAUUCUUUGUACAUUUAUAUUGUUAACUCUCUCAUUGCCAAGAAAAAUCCUUUGGACACAUAAUGAAGUUAAGAGUCUUAA